rnacentral:rRNA from 1 species
GUAGGUGGCGAGCGUUAUCCGGAAUUACUGGGUGUAAAGGGUGUGUAGGCGGGAGUGCAAGUCAGACGUGAAAACUAUGGGCUCAACCCAUAACGUGCGUUUGAAACUGUGCUUCUUGAGAGUGGGAGAGGUAAACGGAAUUCCUGGUGUAGUAGUGAAAUGCGUAGAUAUCAGGAGGAACACCGGUGGCGAAGGCGGUUUACUGGACCACAACUGACGCUGAGACACGAAAGCGUGGGGAGCAAA